GAAAUCAACAAUUUUUCUUAUUUUAACUUAGACAAAAUUUCCAGCUUUCUAGGUUUUUCUUUCUUGUUCUAUCUUGGCUAUGAAACAACUCUAUAAUUCCCCAAGGGUUCUUGGGAUUGACCUUCCUUCCAAGCUAAAGGGAUUAAGCUAUUGAGCAAAUACAAAUUAAGACACUAAAAUAUCAAGGAAAUAAAGACUAUUUUGUGUGUUUGUGUUGUGGGAUGCCCGGUUGCUAUUGGAAAAAGGUGAAAUGAAGCCGAGGUUGUGUCGGUGGAUAUUAUAUGAAUAUGUAUGAUAAGUAAUCUAAAAGUGCGGGAAGUCGAGUUGGGAUGGUAUUGGAGUUUUACAACCAGGCACAGGUACUUCGGCAAACAUGCCUCCUCAGUAGGAGUCCAGGAUAUCCAUCUGCUAUUGGUGAGGUCCAGUUUGCUUCGGGGCUUUCCGAGUCGGUUCCAUAUAUUUUUGGUAUUUUAUAAAAGUUAGUAGUAUGGCGGGGGUUUGUCCCGACCUUAGCUAAAUUUUGUGUAAAGUCUAGAGGCUUUGUAUACCAAUGUAAAUUUAAGUAUGGUAGUGUGUUAUCUAGUAGAUGUUAUGGACCCAACGGCCAAGUCUAUUAUGUAUAUAGUUUUAGGGCUUGUCGUUUAUAUUUUUUUUUCAUUAAGGCAUUAUAUCCGUAUAUGGCAAAACCUUUGCCUAUUAUAGUUGCAUGCAUGGGACUUCCAAGGUUAUAGGUUGGUUUUCUCAGGCCUUCACGGCUAUGGGUGUCUGUCCCUCCCAAUAGAAUUUGAGGCGUGACACCUGGUUCCCUUUGUGAGGUAUUGGUUAUUUGUUUGUGGGAAUUGUAUAUGGGUA